rnacentral:rRNA from 1 species
UACGUAGGCAGCAAGCGUUGUUCGGAGUUACUGGGCGUAAAGAGUGUGUAGGCGGUGCUCCAAGUCUGGUGUGAAAUCUCCCGGCUUAACUGGGAGGGUGCAUUAGAAACUGGAAUGCUAGAGGAUGGGAGAGGUAAGUGGAAUUCCUGGUGUAGCGGUGAAAUGCGUAGAUAUCAGGAGGAACACCUGUGGUGUAGACAGCUUACUGGACCAUUUCUGACGCUGAGACACGAAAGCGUGGGUAGCAAACAGG